UACGAAGGGGGCUAGCGUUGUUCGGAAUUACUGGGCGUAAAGGGCGCGCAGGCGGUCCUUCAAGUCAGGCGUGAAAGCCCCGGGCUCAACCUGGGAACUGCAUUUGUGACUGCAUGGCUAGAGUUUGGCAGAGGGGGGUAGAAUUCCACGUGUAGCAGUGAAAUGCGUAGAUAUUCGGAAGAACACCAGUGGCGAAGGCGACUUACUGGACACAUAUUGACACUGAGGUGCGAAAGCGUGGGGAGCAAACAGG
rnacentral:rRNA from 1 species